rnacentral:tRNA from 1 species
GCAGACGGAAGCUGGGCGGAAACAGCUCGGUUUGGAAACAUUCCGGUUCGUAGGUUCAAAUCCUGCCGUUUGCA